GCGAGCCGAGGGGCGGGGCGGCUGGCGACCGGGAGCGUCCGUGGUGACCGAGUUCAGGAAAGUAGCAGUCAUGCCUCCUCUUAGGUGAGGGGUAUUUCAGUGGCCGUAGACAUUAAUAUGAGCCUAUCAUUAUAUGACCUGAAGAGAUCUGAUGGGCAUGAAUUCAAAAGCCUGAUGAAUGAAUGUUGGUGAGGAGAUGAAGCUUGUAUACUGAGCUGAUGGAAAUGUCAUCUGGCACAACCAUUUGGGAAAAGAAGGUGGCAUUCUGGUCUGGCCUCAAUGCCCGUGACACCGCCUGAGACCCGAAGCGCCCUUGCUUUCUCCUCUCCUGGUGCCAUGGAUGCUGCAGUCUCCUCCACGCUCGGGACAUGCUCCUGAAGCUGAGAUGCCCUCACCCCUAUGCACACCCACGGGCCUGUCUUCUGUCUCCAGCAAAGGAAAGGAUUCAGAGGUGCCAGCCCACAGGCUUCUCUUCUGCGUUACUGCUCUUGACAGCCACCAGGAGGAGCCACACGUCUCCCAGGCUGGAUGAGCAGUCUUCCAGGUGGAAGCAGGAGGAUACAAUUCCCAUGCCAGGAAUGCUUCUUGUCACUGGAUAAAGCCCAAAUCUCCAUAAUACAGCCUUCUGUUUUUAUACGACCACGAAUUCUUGAUAUCUUUGACUCCCCAGUAAGCAUGCAAUUUCCAAAUGUAAACUAUCCCUAAAUUAUAGUUUUCCCCAACUCUAAGUAUGCGGCAAACAUACCUGUUCCUCUCUUGUGUUUAUGAAAACGAGAUGUGAAGACUUUUCUUCACAGAAAAGUUUCGCAUCCUCAAAAAUUUCUUUCUCGACCGAAAAAUAGUAGCAUUUGUCUGUGAAGUUCUUCCAGUGAGGCGGGCAGCCUAGGAGUGCAAAGGUUCACAACACUGAUUAAAAACAAAACAGGAAAAGCACCGUGCUUCUUCAGCUGUGUGCAAGAGGCCCUGCUUCCCGCACAGGCCUGGAGCAGCCCCGUGUCCGUGUGUGGAGCCCGGACGUGCUGGGAGCAAAGACAAGUACAGGGAGCUGCAAUUAUGGUUAAAACUACAUAAUCUGGAAAAUGUCUAUGCUUUGUUCUUCUGCAUCCAGAUUAGUCCUUACAAUGACAGAAACAACAACCCAAGGCAGGGCAGGCACAGAUGGUCACCGUCAGCCUGGGGUCAUAUGGAACCUAUAGACAACUGCAUGGGAGAACCCGGAACCUAAUCGGGCUCACAGAACAGCAGAGAUGACCCGAGUGGUACUGAAGGAAAUCAAGUGAAAUUGGGUGUGGGUCCAAAGAGAGAAAAAUAGGCUUGGGUGCAAACCCAGCAUUUAAGAAUUUACCAAAGGCUUAAUUAUGAAAAGGGCUAGAAGUCACCAUAAUACCUUCUCAGAAGCCAUGAAAUCUGGGCUUCAGUAACACAAAGUUCCACCUGCAUGUUAAGUGAGGGACGUCCGUCCCCAGGUGAAGGGCAUAAAGUGAGGACAGGAUGGGUCGGGAGUGGCCAGCCUUGGACUUUCAUGAAGGAAAUGUCUGGGGACAAGUUUGUCCCUGAGGGCCGACUCAGUUAAAUAAACAAGGGCUAGAGAA